UACACGACCGUACCGCAAACCGACACUGGUGCGCGAGAUGAGUAUUCUAAGGCGCUUGAGAGAACUCAGGAGAAGGAACUCGGCAAAUUGACACCGUAACUUCGGAAGAAGGUGUGCCUUUAGUAGGUGAACCAUUUACUUGGGGAGCCCAAUGAGGCUGCAAAAAAUCGGUGGCUGCAACUGUUUAUUAAAAACACAGCACUCUGCUAAGACGAAAGUCGACGUAUAGGGUGUGACGCCUGCCCGGUGCUGGAAGAUUAAAUGAUGGGGUGCAAGCUCUUGAUUGAAGUCCCAGUAAACGGCGGCCGUAACAAUAACGGUCCUAAGGUAGCGAAAUUCCUUGUCGGGUAAGUUCCGACCUGCACGAAUGGCGUAAUGAUGGCCACACUGUCUCCUCCUGAGACUCAGCGAAGUUGAAAUGUUUGUGAUGAUGCAAUCUCCCCGCGGAAAGACGGAAAGACCCCAUGAACCUUUACUGUAGCUUUGUAUUGGACUUUGAACAGAUCUGUGUAGGAUAGGUGGGAGGCUUUGAAGUGUGGUCGCUAGAUCGCAUGGAGCCAACGUUGAAAUACCACCCUGGUGUGUUUGAGGUUCUAACCUAGGUCCAUUAUCUGGAUCGGGGACAGUGCAUGGUAGGCAGUUUGACUGGGGCGGUCUCCUCCCAAAGUGUAACGGAGGAGUUCGAAGGUACGCUAGGUACGGUCGGACAUCGUGCUAAUAGUGCAAUGGCAUAAGCGUGCUUAACUGCGAGACUGACAAGUCGAGCAGAUGCGAAAGCAGGACAUAGUGAUCCGGUGGUUCUGUAUGGAAGGGCCAUCGCUCAACGGAUAAAAGGCACUCUGGGGAUAACAGGCUGAUACCGCCCAAGAGUUCAUAUCGACGGCGGUGUUUGGCACCUCGAUGUCGGCUCAUCUCAUCCUGGGGCUGUAGCCGGUCCCAAGGGUAUGGCUGUUCGCCAUUUAAAGAGGUACGUGAGCUGGGUUUAAAACGUCGUGAGACAGUUUGGUCCCUAUCUUCCGUGGGCGCUGCAGAUUUGAGGAAGCCUGCUCCUAGUACGAGAGGACCGGAGUGGACGAACCUCUGGUGUAUCGGUUGUCACGCCAGUGGCAUUGCCGAGUAGCUAAGUUCGGAAGAGAUAACCGCUGAAAGCAUCUAAGCGGGAAACUCGUUUCAAGAUUAGAUCUGCCGGGGCCUUGAGCCCCCUAAAGAGUCGUUCAAGACCAGGACGUUGAUAGGUCAGGUGUGGAAGC
rnacentral:rRNA from 1 species